CGACUUACAAGUUACAACUCUACGCGGCCACCGUCUGUCGGAGUGUCGGGGCAUCAUGACAGGGGCAAUGACGUGGCAUACAUGGAGUACUAGUAUUAGCCCAGGAGGACCGGUGUUAUUUUUUUUUUACCUACUAUACAUACUCACUUGCCAUUAACAAGUUAAUUGCUGGAUCAGGAUCAAGUUUGGCCGGAACCAUACCUUGGACUCAAGUACUGAAGCAACGAGCAGCGGCGUCACCGUGGUCCGUGACCCGACCGGACGCCGUCGGGGAGGAGGAGGAGGAGGAGGAGGAGGCGCCGGCGCGUCAACCUCUCCGGUUCGUUUCACACACGUACCAGGCAGGCAGCAGGAGCCCACGACGUCGUAACCCGGUGGACGGUGGCCGCGACGUCACGCUCGGGGGGCACGUGUCGGGCGCUGGGGCUCCGAGACGUGAGCGCUACGCCGCUCGCGUGCUUUUAGUUUUUUUUCCCCCUUUAGUCUUUAUUACUCGGGACCGCGACAGGCGACGCCGACGCGGACUCCGCGGCGGCGUGGGGCCGCCGGCGCGGCACCGCCCGGCCGAGAGAGGCGCCAGCGGCCAGCCAACCGACGGGGUUCUGCAGGCUGCAGCACGCGCAGGAAGCGGCCGCCGAUGGCGCCCGAGGACGAAGCAGCAGUGGGAACUGGGAGAUCGAUCGCGCGCCGCGCCGAGACUGCGCUCGGUUUGGUGCGCCGCGUCGGCUGGACGGACGCAUGCACGUACGCGCCGCGAUCGCCGAUCCACGUUACUCACAGCUGACUGACUCGUCGCAAGGCGCUGCUGGUGGUACGGGUUUCAAGUGUCCAACCUAGACUGUAAACGAGAGUAGUGCCAAAAUCACCCGCACCACCGCCCCGUACCUUGGAUUUCGAAAUGUCCGCAUGAUCUUGUAUGAAAAUGGGAACGUGACUCGAUUAUGUUAC
rnacentral:lncRNA from 1 species